AUUGAACGCUGGCGGCAGGCCUAACACAUGCAAGUCGAGCGGAGCGGGGGACGGGCGAGUAAUGCCUAGGAAUCUGACUGGCAGUGGGGGUUAACGUCCGGAAACGGGCGCUAAUACCGUAUACUAUGAGAUGAGGUUCGGUCGGAUUAGCUAGUUGGUGGGGUCAAGGCCUACCAGGGCGACGAUCCGUAAGUGGUCUGAGAGGAUGAUCAGUCACACGGGAACUUGGACACGGUCCAGACUCCUACCGGAGGCAGCAGUGGGGAAUAUUGGACAAUGGGCGAAAGCCUGAUCCAGCCAUGCCGCGUGUGUGAAGAAGGUCUUCGGAUUGUAAAGCACUUUAAGUUGGGAGGCGUUACCAACAGAAUAAGCACCGGCUAACUUCGUGCCAGCAGCCGCGGUAAUAC
rnacentral:rRNA from 1 species